GCUUGUCUCAAAGAUUAAGCCAUGCAUGUCUCAGAAUAAAUCUCUAUACGUUGAAUCUGCAAAUGGCUCUUUAAAACAGUUAUUGUUUACUUGAUGGUCAUUCCUUACAUGGAUAACUGAGGUAAUUCUUGAGCUAAUACAUGCGAAAAAUCUCGACUCACGGAGAGAUGCUUUUAUUAGAUCAAAACCAAACGGCUUCGGCCGUCUCAUUGGUGACUCUGAAUAACUUUGGGCUGAUCGUAUGGCCUUGUGCCGACGACGUUUCCUUCGAAGGUGUGCCCUAUCAACUGUCGACUGUGAUAUAGACGCUCACAGUGGUUUUGACGGGUAACGGGGAAUCAGGGUUCGAUUCCGGAGAGGGAGCCUUAAAAACGGCUACCACAUCCAAGGAAGGCAGCAGG
rnacentral:rRNA from 1 species